CACGUAGGGUGCGAGCGUUGUCCGGAAUUAUUGGGCGUAAAGAGCUCGUAGGCGGUGUGUCGCGUCGGCCGUGAAAACCUGCAGCUUAACUGUGGGCUUGCGGUCGAUACGGGCAUCACUGGAGUUCGGCAGGGGAGACUGGAAUUCCUGGUGUAGCGGUGAAAUGCGCAGAUAUCAGGAGGAACACCGGUGGCGAAGGCGGGUCACUGGGCCGCAACUGACGCUGAGGAGCGAAAGCAUGGGGAGCGAACAGG
rnacentral:rRNA from 1 species